UACAUACCCCCUCCGUCCGAAAAUACUUGUCAUUGAAAUGGAUGUAUCUAGAUGUAUUUUAGUUCUAAGUACAUCCAUUUUCAUCCAUUUUGAUGACAAGUAAUUCCGGACGGAGGAAGUACAUA
rfam:Triticum aestivum genome assembly, contig: Triticum_aestivum_CS42_TGACv1_scaffold_592657_7BS